rnacentral:misc_RNA from 1 species
CUGAGUUAUCCAACUCCCAAACCCCUGUGAACAUACCUAUGUUGCUUCGGCGGGCCGUCCCGCGGCGCGCCCACGUGGCGUGACCCGGACCCAGGCGCCCGCCGGGGAACCAAACUCUUGUCUUCGAGUGUCUCCUCUGAGUGGCAUAAGCAAAAAUAAACA